UAACUUAAAGAGUUGACUUGAGCCAGGGU
rnacentral:piRNA from 1 species